rnacentral:rRNA from 1 species
CCUACGGGAGGCAGCAGUGAGGAAUAUUGGUCAAUGGACGAGAGUCUGAACCAGCCAAGUAGCGUGAAGGAUGACUGCCCUAUGGGUUGUAAACUUCUUUUAUAUGGGAAUAAAAUGUUCCACGUGUGGGCUUUUGUAUGUACCAUAUGAAUAAGGAUCGGCUAACUCCGUGCCAGCAGCCGCGGUAAUACGGAGGAUCCGAGCGUUAUCCGGAUUUAUUGGGUUUAAAGGGAGCGUAGGUGGAUUGUUAAGUCAGUUGUGAAAGUUUGCGGCUCAACCGUAAAAUUGCAGUUGAAACUGGCAGUCUUGAGUACAGUAGAGGUGGGCGGAAUGCGUGGUGUAGCGGUGAAAUGCUUAGAUAUCACGAAGAACUCCGAUUGCGAAGGCAGCUCACUGGACUGCAACUGACGCUGAGGCACGAAAGUGUGGGUAUCAAACAGGAUUAGAUACCCUGGUAGUC